GGAGUUAGGAAAUGUAAGUGCGCUAAUAUCGCAUUUAUUUGACGAAGGCUCCAAAGGAAGCCACGGCUAACUCUGUGCCAGCAGCCGCGGUAAUACAGAGGUGGCAAGCGUUGUUCGGAAUUAUUGGGCGUAAAGAGCACGUAGGUGGGUUUGUAGGUCAGAUGUGAAAGCCUUCUGUUCAACGGAAGAAUUGCAUCUGAAACUACAAGUCUUGAGUGUAGGAGGGGAGAGUGGAACUUCUG
rnacentral:rRNA from 1 species